GCGUAAUUGGUUUAGUGGUAAAAUUCUCCGUUGCCAUUCGAGCAGCGUCGGGGGAGCCCUGGGUUCGAUUCCCAGAUUACGCA
rnacentral:tRNA from 1 species